AGAGCGAACGCUGGCGGCAGGCCUAAUACAUGCAAGUCGAACGGAUCCUUCGGGAUUAGUGGCGGACGGGUGAGUAACACGUGGGAACGUGCCCUUUGGUUCGGAACAACUCAGGGAAACUUGAGCUAAUACCGGAUGUGCCCUUCGGGGGAAAGAUUUAUCGCCAUUGGAGCGGCCCGCGUCUGAUUAGCUAGUUGGUGAGGUAAAGGCUCACCAAGGCUUCGAUCAGUAGCUGGUCUGAGAGGAUGAUCAGCCACACUGGGACUGAGACACGGCCCAGACUCCUACGGGAGGCAGCAGUGGGGAAUAUUGGACAAUGGGGGAAACCCUGAUCCAGCGACGCCGCGUGUGUGAAGAAGGCCUGCGGGUUGUAAAGCACUUUUAGUGGGGACAAAAAGCUACGGAUUAAUACUCUGUGGUCUUGAUUUAACCCAAAGAAAAGCACCGGCUAACUCUGUGCCAGCAGCCGC
rnacentral:rRNA from 1 species